UGCGAAGGGGGCUAGCGUUGUUCGGAAUUACUGGGCGUAAAGCGCGCGCAGGCGGUUCUUCAAGUCAGUGGUGAAAGCCCGGAGUUCAACUCCGGAAUUGCCAUUGAAACUGUGGAACUUGAGGAUGAGAGAGGUGAGUGGAAUUCCCAGUGUAGAGGUGAAAUUCGUAGAUAUUGGGAAGAACACCGGUGGCGAAGGCGGCUCACUGGCUCAUUUCUGACGCUCAGGCGCGACAGCGUGGGGAUCAAACAGG
rnacentral:rRNA from 1 species